AUCGCCACCGCGCAGCUCCUCGCCCGCCGCCGCCUAUCUCCCAUAGCUGGUGCCGCCAUGGUCCCGUGCCCGCAGACCUCUUUCACUGCCUAGGUCGAGGGCACACCCCGUGCUCUGCCUCUACAGAGCGAACCACACCGGAGUCAACUGCGCGGAGAAUGUUUCAGGAAGAAAAGGCUCUGUUAUCUUAACUAGGAUGGAAAGUAUAACAACAUACACAAACCAAUAUGGAUAACCCAACCCAUAUCUGGAUCCAAAGAACUAGCUUGACUGGACUCUAGAUCACGGACAAUUUAGUCUUGGCACUUAAUUAGGAUGGCUAAAUUACAUUUGAGUUCCAUUUGAUGGAUAUUUGCUAU